UGUCACUGCUCUCUGACCAUGCACUGUCCCUCCAGACUCUCAUUCCCCAACUGAUCAGUCAGAGGAGGAUAAAUGUCCACUGGGACAUACUCUAAGACCCCAAACCACCUUGUUCCAUGUGAAAGGACAGAACGGAGAGAGAAGAGAUCAAGGGGAACCCUCCACAUUUAGCUGGCAACCUUUCCAUCUUCAUCUACUGGAUUACUGGCUGGACACAAACAAGAAGGG
rnacentral:lncRNA from 1 species